rnacentral:lncRNA from 1 species
GAUGAUUACAUGUUAAUCGAAACUAUUGUCUUACUACUAUUGUAUCACCCUUAUCAAGGGGUGAAAUGGAACGUAUUUCGAUUCGACGAAAGACAAGUACGUUCCAUUUCACCCUUUGAGAAGGAUGAAACGAAACGUCUCACAUUUUACUACAAAUUAGGAAUAUAUAUUACAGAUGGUCAACUCCGAAAAAAUCACGUGACAAAGACUAUAGCGCCGACUUUGUCUUAGCAGAGAACUAAAGUUUCGAUUUUGAAUCAGAUGAUAAAUUGCCUUAAUGAGAUUGAAACCACAAUGAGGUUGACGUCACCACAGAUUACUCAUUUAAAUUUAGUUUCGAAUUGUUACAGCGUUUAGAAUUCCUAUUAAAAAAAAUGACAGAUUAGUAUUG